rnacentral:lncRNA from 1 species
GGCCGAGAAAUUGUCUCCAUGAAGAUUCUACUGGUCCGUUCGAUGAGAAACACCAUUGCACGCUGACAGGGGAUUCUAUCGACUCCCUAUUAGCCUUUCAGCGUGGACUACCACGGCCUUGUUACAUGGAGAAACUAUUAAUCGCAAUCGUACUUGAGACGCAGGAGAAGCCCUAGCACUGACAGCCAGAUACGUACUGACGAGGACCCGCUUUGGUGGCACAUCCAUGCAUAUGUCUUGGGCGGUAUUAGCAUGACAACCUACUGUUUCCCGGAUAGGCCACCACUCUAACCCAAUCGGAUGUUUGCAACUCCAUCGGGGCCAGUUAAUGGGCGGCGCAAGAGAAAUCCAUUCGAAUAACGCCGACUGAGGAUCACGCCAGCAGAAGUGUUUACGCCAGCCACAUUCAGAUCCACCUGCAAUGCAAGUUUCAUCCAUACCACUAAUCAAGAAGAAUUCUGUCUUGGUGUUCUUCUAUUAAGCAUUUGUGUAUUAUAUUUCUUGGCCAUUCUAUCUGCCCACGGUCCGCUUGUCUACGUUCAAUCUCAUUGUUAACUUGCCAGAGAAGAAGUGAGUAUGGGCCAGCGGAAGCCCAUAACAUCCCAGGCAGACGGUUAUCUGUCGGCACCCGCGUUAGUUUUAGAGCAACCACUGUCAUGUGCAGCAGUGCUCGUUUGGCUGAUCGGUGCUGGGUGCUUAGCUUGAUCAGUGCGGAUCUGCAGCAAGUCUAUUUGCGGGAUCGUCAAUAAUAGUUCCCAUCUUAAAUGCCGGGGUUGGAGGGAUAUUAAGAAAUAAUCACGAUGAGCUGAAGAAUAGCCUUGUUGUUCUAGCCUGCAGAUGUCCAAAUAUGAAAGUCAUUGUUCAUGUUCAUUCUCAAGCAUGAAAGCCUGUUACAUUGUAAAAUUCUCCCCGAGAAAAGUGCUGAGAUCACUCUGGCUAAUAUGAGAGGAGAACCGGUAGGACGAAGGUCUGAAGAAUAUGUUUGUCGUGCAACCCUAACAAGGCAAACUAGAACCUCUACCAACAAUGUGUUCUCAAUUUACCCGUCGCCAUGGUAAAUCUCAAGCAUCAUUGGCACGAACCACGAAGCGGCGGUGUCGACGCUGUCAAAUAAGCGUCGGGUAUCCAUGGCUGACAUGAUCCUCGCUAUCUUUGUUUUGACUGACUGAUCUGCAGCUAACUGUCAAUGGUGCCAGCCACAGGUGACUGUCAUUUAAUUGGCUGUGUGGACGUAUGAAAGGAAACAAGAGAAAAAGUAAAUAUGUGAGUACUUACGUACGUGAGUAAAUACUACUGCCGGGUUUUCGGUCCAAAAACGAGUGUGUGGUCGUGUUACUUGCUAGCGACGCCACUUGGAAAAGCCACGUUCUGUGCGGUGUGGUUGUGUGGUUUGGCUCGACACAAACUUUGGAAAAUCUACCACGGACGUGGGAUCCAUAGGAUUAUGACAGGUGGUCUGGCCAAAAUACGGUCAACGAGUUAGGGCAACGAGCUAAGGUGUUCAAAAAGCCGCAAAGUAGGACCAACAAGGUAGUGUGGGGGGAGGGGCUCAGGAGUCAGGACACUCCAGUGCUAGGAAUAUUCGAGCAAUAUGUGAUAGAUAGAGAUGGAAGAGGAGCCACUAGGAUACAUAGGAUCAAGUCUUUAGUGGAAACCUCGUAUUUUCCCUGUGAGUAUUGCCUCCGGAGUCCGCAAUACGAUAUACCCGGAGUCUAAUUAAUCUGAUACUAGGAAGAAAAAGGGGGGAAAGGAAAAAUGGGAAGUAGAAAAGAAAAGGGAAAAGAAAAGAAAAGAAAACAGCCACGGAGUGAAAAAAAAAAACAAAAGAUUGAUAGGUGUCCGUGAUGGUCUGUCUGAUUAAGGAACAAAGUUCCAGCUAAGCCCUGACGAAUCUCGGGAAAGCCGCGCGCUAGCGGCCCGAUUAGGUAAAUGGGGCUGUGGAUACGGAUCUAGUGUGGG